rnacentral:rRNA from 1 species
CAGGGAAUCUUCCACAAUGGGCGAAAGCCUGAUGGAGCGACGCCGCGUGAGGGAUGAAGGCUCUAGGGUCGUAAACCUCUUUUCUUAGGGAAGAGCAAGGACGGUACCUAAGGAAUAAGUGACGGCUAACUCCGUGCCAGCAGCCGCGGUAAGACGGGGGAGGCAAGCGUUGUUCGGAAUUAUUGGGCGUAAAGAGCGCGUAGGUGGUUUUUUAAGUCAAAUGUGAAAACCUCAGGCUUAACUUGAGGACUGCAUGUGAAACUGGAAAACUUGAGUGCAGUAGAGGAAAGUGGAAUUCCUGGUGUAGCGGUGAAAUGCGCAGAUAUCAGGAAGAACACCAGUGGCGAAGGCGGCUUUCUGGGCUGCUACUGACGCUGAGGCGCGAAAGCUAGGGGAGCGAACGGG